rnacentral:rRNA from 1 species
CGGAGGGGGGCUAGCGUUGUUCGGAAUUACUGGGCGUAAAGCGCACGUAGGCGGACCGGAAAGUCAGAGGUGAAAUCCCAGGGGCUCAACCUUGGAACUGCCUUUGAAACUAUCGGUCUGGAGUUCGAGAGAGGUGAGUGGAAUUCCGAGUGUAGAGGUGAAAUUCGUAGAUAUUCGGAGGAACACCAGUGGCGAAGGCGGCUCACUGGCUCGAUACUGACGCUGAGGUGCGAAAAGCGUGGGGGAGCAAACAGGAUU